GAUGAAGAACGUAGCGAAAUGCAAUAAGUAAUGUGAAUUGCAGAAUUCAGUGAAUCAUCGAAUCUUUGAACGCACAUUGCGCCCGCCAGUAUUCUGGCGGGCAUGCCUGUUCGAGCGUCAUUACAACCCUCAGGCCCCCGGGCCUGGCGUUGGGGAUCGGCAGAAGCCCCCUGUGGGCACACGCCGUCCCUCAAAUACAGUGGCGGUCCCGCCGCAGCUUCCAUUGCGUAGUAGCUAACACCUCGCAACUGGAGAGCGGCGCGGCCAUGCCGUAAAACACCCAACUUCUGAAUGUUGACCUCGAAUCAGGUAGGAAUACCCGCUGAACUUAAGCAUAUCAAUAAGCGGAGGA
rnacentral:misc_RNA from 1 species